UACGGGGGGGGUAAGCGUUGUUCGGAAUUACUGGGCGUAAAGGGCUCGUAGGCGGCCAACUAAGUCCGACGUGAAAUCCCCAGGCUUAACCUGGGAACUGCGUCGGAUACUGGUUGGCUUGAAUCCGGGAGAGGGAUGCGGAAUUCCAGGUGUAGCGGUGAAAUGCGAAGAUAUCUGGAGGAACACCGGUGGCGAAGGCGGCAUCCUGGACCGGCAUUGACGCUGAACAGCGAAAGCCAGGGGAGCAAACGGG
rnacentral:rRNA from 1 species